UGGGGAAUAUUGCGCAAUGGGCGAAAGCCUGAUCCAGCAAUGCCGCGUGAGUGAUGAAGGCCCUAGGGUUGUAAAGCUCUUUUUACCAGGGAUGAUAAUGACAGUACCUGGAGAAUAAGCUCCGGCUAACUCCGUGCCAGCAGCCGCGGUAAUACGGAGGGAGCUAGCGUUGUUCGGAAUUACUGGGCGUAAAGCGUACGUAGGCGGUUAUUCAAGUCAGAGGUGAAAGCCCGGGGCUCAACCCCGGAACGGCCUUUGAAACUAGGUAGCUAGAAUCUUGGAGAGGUCAGUGGAAUUCCGAGUGUAGAGGUGAAAUUCGUAGAUAUUCGGAAGAACACCAGUGGCGAAGGCGACUGACUGGACAAGUAUUGACGCUGAGGUACGAAAGCGUGGGGAGCAAACAGGAUUAGAUACCCCCGUAGUCCCUGAGCGGGCUGGCAAGGCGC
rnacentral:rRNA from 1 species